rnacentral:tRNA from 1 species
GCGCUCUUAGCUCAGCUGGAUAGAGCACCUGCCUUCUAAGCAGGGGGUCGGAAGUUCGAAUCUUCCAGAGCGCGCCA